GGAUCAGUUGGUCGGUCGUGCCUCGGUACGUACUGGUCAAAUUGAUUCCUCCUUCCUGAUGAGCCGUAAUGCCAUUAAUUUGGUGUUGCGGGGAAUUUGGACUGUUACUUUGAAAAAAUUAGAGUGUUUAAAGCAAGCUAACGCUUGAAUACAUUAGCAUGGAAUAAUGAAAUAGGACGUUCGAUCCUAUUUUGUUGGUUUCUAGGAUUGACGUG
rnacentral:rRNA from 1 species